rnacentral:rRNA from 1 species
CAAGCGGUGGAGCAUGUGGUUCAAUUCGACGCAACGCGAAGAACCUUACCUGGGCUCGAAGCGUAGUGGACCGAGGUAGAAAUAUCUUUUCCCCGCAAGGGGCCGCUACGUAGGUGCUGCAUGGCUGUCGUCAGCUCGUGUCGUGAGGUGUUGGGUUAAGUCCCGCAACGAGCGCAACCCUUAUUGCCAGUUGCCAUCAUUUAGUUGGGCACUCUGGCGAAACCGCCCCGGAUAACGGGGAGGAAGGUGGGGAUGACGUCAAGUCCUCAUGGCCUUUAUGUCCAGGGCUACACACGUGCUACAAUGGUUGGUACAAACCGUCGCAAACCCGCGAGGGGGAGCUAAUCGGAAAAAGCCAAUCCCAGUCCGGAUUGGAGUCUGCAACUCGACUCCAUGAAGCUGGAAUCGCUAGUAAUCGCAGAUCAGCACGCUGCGGUGAAUACGUUCCCGGGCCUUGUACACACC